GAUGAACGCUGGCGGCGUGCUUAACACAUGCAAGUCUAACGAUGAAGCCCAGCUUGCUGGGUGGUUUAGUGGCGAACGGGUGAGUAACACGUGAGUAACCUGCCCUUAACUCUGGGAUAAGCCUGGGAAACUGGGUCUAAUACCGGAUAGGAGCGCCUACCGCAUGGUGGGUGUUGGAAAGAUUUAUCGGUUUUGGAUGGACUCGCGGCCUAUCAGCUUGUUGGUGGGGUAAUGGCUCACCAAGGCGACGACGGGUAGCCGGCCUGAGAGGGUGACCGGCCACACUGGGACUGAGACACGGCCCAGACUCCUACGGGAGGCAGCAGUGGGGAAUAUUGCACAAUGGGCGAAAGCCUGAUGCAGCGACGCCGCGUGAGGGAUGACGGCCUUCGGGUUGUAAACCUCUUUCAGUAGGGAAGAAGCGAAAGUGACGGUACCUGCAGAAGAAGCACCGGCUAACUACGUG
rnacentral:rRNA from 1 species